rnacentral:SRP_RNA from 1 species
UCUAGGAAUUGCAACGUGCUCCUGUAAUCCAGUUAAUCGGAGGUUUGGUUGGUAGGUCAAUUUGAGAAUGGGAAUCCUAGCAAUCAGUCUUCUAUGGUAAUCAGCUUCCACGCUAGACUCGGCAUCAGUAUGGUGCUGACGAGGGAGCUCAUCAGGACCAUGUUGUCUAAGGAGGUUCAAUCCGACUUAGAGUGGGAACGCAGCAGACAAAACACCCCGUAUUGAGAGAUAGUGGGACAGCACCUGUCAAUAGUCGUCGCCUGCCAACCUGUUCUUUCUAAACGAAUUCUAAUUUCU